rnacentral:tRNA from 1 species
CGUUAGCUCAGUUGGGAGAGCGCCGGCCUCGCAUGCCGGAGGUCGGGGGUUCGAAUCCCCCACGGUC